rnacentral:tRNA from 1 species
UUCCAAUCCAGAUUGGUAGGAUAGAGGACUG